ACUGGACCAGCCAAGAGCGGUCAAAUAUUUGAACAGACAUGUACCUUGAAAGAGGACCAGGACCGAAAAAUUGGCCCUCCCCGCUAAAGAACAAAUGUGAUUGAGGAUAUAGAGAAAAUACUUCGGAAUAAAUAUAGUUAUGUCCUCAGGGAGAUUAAAAAGCCAUCUGCUAUGAAAUGGAACCAUAGUUCUGGAACUUAAAAAGAUCCUUAUGAGAGAGACACAAGACUGUCAGAGACAAAGGAGAAAGUGAUGUGUCAACAGAAGCAGAGAUUAGAGUAAUGUAGCCAGGAGCCACGGAAUGCCUGCAGCCUCCAGGACCUGGAAGAGGCAAGGAGCAGAUUCCCUGGAAGUCUCCAGAAGGAACCAGCCCCACGGACACCUUGAUUCUGGUACUUUAAGAAUCACUUUGGACUUCUGACAUACAGAACUGUAAAAGAAUAAAUGUUGUUUCAAGCCACUAA